UUUCCAUAGAAACUGGUGUCUGCGUGCGC
rnacentral:sRNA from 1 species